UACGUAGGCAGCAAGCGUUGUUCGGAGUUACUGGGCGUAAAGGGUGCGUAGGCGGCUUUUUAAGUUUGGUGUGAAAUCUCCCGGCUCAACUGGGAGGGUGCGCCGAAUACUGAGAGGCUAGAGUGUGGGAGAGGAAGUGGAAUUCCUGGUGUAGCGGUGAAAUGCGCAGAUAUCAGGAGGAACACCGGUGGCGAAGGCGGGUCUCUGGACAGUUCCUGACGCUGAGGCACGAAGGUCAGGGGAGCAAACGGG
rnacentral:rRNA from 1 species